rnacentral:rRNA from 1 species
UACAGAGGUCCCAAGCGUUGUUCGGAUUCAUUGGGCGUAAAGGGUGCGUAGGCGGCGCGGUAAGUCGGGUGUGAAAUCCCCCAGCUCAACUGGGGAAUUGCGCCUGAAACUACCGUGCUCGAGGAAGACAGAGGUACGCGGAACUUAGGGUGGAGCGGUGAAAUGCGUUGAUAUCCUAAGGAACACCGGUGGCGAAGGCAGGUCUCUGGGCUGACACUGACGCUCAUGCACGAAAGCGUGGGGAGCAAACAGG